GAAAUGCGAUAAUUAAUGUGAAUUGCAGAAUUCAGUGAAUCAUCGAGUCUUUGAACGCACAUUGCGCCCCCUGGUAUUCCGGGGGGCAUGCCUGUCCGAGCGUCAUUGCUGCCCUCAAGCACGGCUUGUGUGUUGGGCUUCCGUCCCUGGCAACGGGGACGGGCCCAAAAGGCAGUGGCGGCACCAUGUCUGGUCCUCGAGCGUAUGGGGCUUUGUCACCCGCUCCCGUAGGUCCAGCUGGCAGCUAGCCUCGCAACCAAUCUUUUUAACCAGGUUGACCUCGGAUCAGGUAGGGAUACCCGCUGAACUUAAGCAUAUCAAUAAGCGGAG
rnacentral:misc_RNA from 1 species